AUGAACGCUGGCGGCGUGCUUAACACAUGCAAGUCGAACGGUGAAGGAGAGCUUGCUCCUCUGGAUCAGUGGCGAACGGGUGAGUAACACGUGAGUAACCUGCCCCAGACUCUGGGAUAAGCACUGGAAACGGUGUCUAAUACCGGAUACGAACUUCAGCCGCAUGGCUAGGAGUUGGAAAGAAUUUCGGUCUGGGAUGGACUCGCGGCCUAUCAGCUAGUUGGUGAGGUAAUGGCCCACCAAGGCGACGACGGGUAGCCGGCCUGAGAGGGUGACCGGCCACACUGGGACUGAGACACGGCCCAGACUCCUA
rnacentral:rRNA from 1 species